rnacentral:lncRNA from 1 species
UCCAAUUAUGACCAUUUAAAUCUAAUGCUGCAGGCAUGUGAUCAUUCCACUGCCCAUUUAGGGCAAUGGAAUCUAUGCUAAUAUAAGGUCUGCAUCCAUAUAAAAAUCCAUCUAUGCUGCCAUUGGAAGCACAAAAGAAUCUAGUGAAGUGCCUCUUUUUGCCAAUUUCAACACUGUCAAUCUCAACCACACUACCAGGUGCCCUCAAUUCCACCUCUGCCUUGAACCUAUACAACCAGUCAAAUAAAUCAUCCCAAUUACCAAAAAGUUUCUCUGUUGCUCUCUGUCUCCCAUACCACACUGUCUGAUAGUUAAUCUGGAUUUUAUACUUGUCCUCCAAAGCAUCC